CCUACGGGAGGCAGCAGUGGGGAAUAUUGGACAAUGGGCGAAAGCCUGAUCCAGCCAUGCCGCGUGUGUGAAGAAGGCCUUCGGGUUGUAAAGCACUUUCAGUGGGGAAGAAAGCCUUGGGGCUAAUACCCUCGAGGAAGGACAUCACCCACAGAAGAAGCACCGGCUAACUCCGUGCAAGCAGCCGCGGUAAUACGGAGGGUGCGAGCGUUAAUCGGAAUUACUGGGCGUAAAGCGCGCGUAGGCGGUCUGAUAAGCCGGUUGUGAAAGCCCCGGGCUCAACCUGGGAACGGCAUCCGGAACUGUCAGGCUAGAGUGCAGGAGAGGAAGGUAGAAUUCCCGGUGUAGCGGUGAAAUGCGUAGAGAUCGGGAGGAAUACCAGUGGCGAAGGCGGCCUUCUGGACUGACACUGACGCUGAGGUGCGAAAGCGUGGGUAGCAAACAGGAUUAGAUACCCUAGUAGUC
rnacentral:rRNA from 1 species